rnacentral:lncRNA from 1 species
CAGGAAUAAAGUACAAGUCAAUGCUUCCCGUGAGUCUGAGUCAAGUCGAUACAUUACAACUGGUGAAGAGGAUAUGGAAAUAAAAUAAACCUUAUCCACUCAAGAAGCUGGUUUGAUGUGCAUUCCGACCCAGCCAGUGUUGGUUUGUGAUGGGCGAAAUGGAUUAAUAGUUUCAAACUGUUCAUCACUGCUUCAGGAGUCAAAGAUGCAGCACGGAAACAAGCUCUUUUAUUGCACUUGGGAGGCUCGGAUGUGCAGGAUAUAUUCACCACGUUAGAUGACACGGGGGAAGACAAGGACUAUGAGAUGCCGUUGACAAAGCUAAACGAGUACUUCACUCCACAAAAAAACAUUCCCUACAAGAGACCUUUGUUUAGGAAAGCUGAAAAAGCACAGGGGGAUCAGUGGAGACGUUUGUGAGCAGACAAACAGUUGGCUGCUAUAUGUGACUAUGGAUAUUUCAAAGACUAUUUCAUAAGGGACCAAGUGAUUGACAAGUGUCACUCAAAUGUGUUGCGCAAAUGGGUUCACAGCAACAUUCAGUCAUUUGCAGACCAAAUGCAUUGUGCAAUUAAAACCAACAUCCAAGAGACUUUACCCAUAUGGUUUGUCACAAUCAUUAGCAGUUGAGGGCCUGCUCAAUGCCAAUAUUACAGCAGUUGUUCGUUCUGAGUCAGUCACUGCAGACAUUCUAGUCGUGAAAGAUGCACAGACAUCUGUACUGGAAAAUAAAUCAGCAGUUGCUCUUGGCAUUUUGCACAUAGGGCCAAAGGCACACAAACUCAGUCCAAGAUUAUGACACACAGACACUCAAAGCUGCACUCCAGGAGGAAUACAAAGACUGUUUCAGAGGGCUGUAAAAACUGAAAGAUUUCCAGUUAGGAAUUAAUGGAGAUGAGACUCACACCAGUUGCACAGCCAGUACGCUGAAUACCAUUCAGUGUCAGGAAGCUAGUUGAAGAGUAGACAAACGAGCUAGAGGACUUGGAUGUUAUUAAUAAAGCAAAUGGACCUACACCAUGGGUGCCCCCAUUAGUUGUAGUACACAAGAAAACGGGUGUCAUCAGAGUAUGUGUUGACAUGCGUAGAGCAAAUUAAGCUGUUGUGCGGGAGUGACACCUCAUCCCACCAUCAAAUCAAUCAAAUGUAUUCAUAUAGCCCUUCUUACAUCAGCUGAUAUCUCAAAGUGCUGUACAGAAACCCAGCCUAAAACCCCAAACAGCAAGCAAUGCAGGUGUAGAAGCACGGUGGCUAGGAAAAACUCCCUAGAAAGGCCAAAACCUAGGAAGAAACCUAGAGCGGAACCAGGCUAUGAGGGGUGGCCAGUCCUCUUCUGGCUGUGCCGGGUGGAGAUUAUAACAGCACAUGGCCAAGAUGUUCAUCAAUGACCAGCAUGGUCAAAUAAUAAUAAUCAUAGUAGUUGUCGAGGGUGCAACAAGUCAGUAAAACAAGAGUAAGUGUCAGUUGGUCCUAUGGUCCUAGGGCUCAGGUCCUCCGAGAGAGAGAAAGAAAGAAAGAGAGAAAGAGAGAAUUAGAGAGAGCAUAUUUAAAUUCACACAGGACACCAGAAAAGACAAGAGAAAUACCCCAGAUGUGACAGACUGACCCUAGCCCCCCAACACAUAAACUACUGCAGCAUAAAUACUGGAGGCUGAGACAGGAGGGGUCAGGAGACACUGUGGCCCCAUCCGAUGAAACCCCUGGACAGGGCCAAACAGACACAUAUUAGCACAUCGUCCGUCAAGUCCUACAAGACAUCAAGGGGGUCCACAACAUCUUAGAUGUCAUUGUGUUUGGGAAGAACGCAUAAGAACACAACAAACGACUACACCAAGUCCUGAGACGGCUGCAGGAGAGGGGGCUCACCCUCAACAGUGACACAUGUGAAUUCCAAUUGAUGGAGAUGGAGUUCAUGGGCCAAGUUCUCUUGAAGAACAGCAUCAGAGCAGCACAGUCAAAGGUGGAAGCGGUGCAGAGAACACGCAGCCCGACAAAUGCUGCUGAAUUAAGGAGUUUCUUAGGACUAGUGAACUACUGUGGCAUAUUUAUCUUUAAUCUGGCAACCACAUCUGAAUCGAUGAGAAGACUCACAAAAGCAUCAUGCAAAUGGACAUGGGGAGAUGAACAAGAAUCAUAAUUGAAUGCGCAGAAGAACGCACUGGCCAGUUCACACAACAUGGCCUGCUUCAAUCAAGAUGCAGUGGACUAGCGGCUAUCUUGAGUCAGAAGCAAAAAUAUGUUUCACACAGGCCAGUGUACUACGCUUGCCGUGCUCUCAUAGAUGUAGAGUGACGCUAUUCUCAGACUGAAAGAGAGACACUCGCCAUAGCCUGGGCGUGCGAGAAGUUUCAUAUGUUUCUCCAAGGCAAAGACUUUGUAAUGGUAACCGACCACAAACCUUUAGACACUAUUUAUUCUCCAACAUCCAAACCACCAGCAAGGAUUGAUAGAUAGGCACUGAGAAUGCAGCCUUACAGAUUCAAUGUUGGAUACAAGCCUGGGCCUCAGAAUGCAGCCUACUCACUGUCACGGUUGACUCUUAACCCUCCGGCACUUCUACACUACGGGGACGACCACAUCUACUAUGUAGCCAAACACACAGUGACAUGUGCAUUCACCCAUGAGAGCUGGAACAAAUGUCAGCAAAGGACCCAGUUCUAGCUACUCUAUGAACAAGCAUCAGACAGGGUGAUUGGAGCACAUGCGACACUGCAUACCGACGUGUUCAAGAAGAACUCUCUAUUGUUGGACAGAUAGUUCUACGAAGCAACCACAUUAUUAUGUCACGAGCAGCUCAGAAAUGGACUUUGAUGUUAGCACACGAAGGGCAUCAGGGCAUCAGAGAAUAUGCACAAAAGUGUGGUGGCCAAACAUUGAUAAAGAGGUUGAACUGCUUGUGAAGUCCUGUCCAGCAUGUCAAGUCAAUGGCACACCACCAAAGCAGGUCCACACGGUCAGAACAGAGCUAGCUACGAGCUAAACCAUGGCAGAUCCUUGGCAGCCAUUGACAUGUGUGGGCCGUUUCCAACAGGAGAACAGCUCCUCGUAACAACAGACUACUACUCAAGAUGGGUUGAUGUGAGUAUCCUAAACCGCAUCACCACCGCCAAUAUAAUCAAAAGCCUAACGGUGACGUUCACAGUCCAUGGGUAUCCUGAGUCUAUUGUGACGGAUAAUGGCGCUCCUCUCACCGUGAGUGACUUCCGAGCAUACGUGGAGGAAAACGGGAUCCGACACCGCUGCAUCACUCCAUACUGGCCUCAGGCCAACGGCGAAGUUGAAAGGCAGAACAGGAGCUUGUCAAAGCAAUUUGCGCUGCUCAAUCAGAAGGGAAGGAUUGGCGCACAGAACUACAGACGUUUCUCCCGCCACACUCAGUCACAGGCUGCAGUCCAGCUGAACUGUUGUUCAACCGCCAAUUUAGAACCAAACUGCCAGAGCUGUCAGCCGACAUGCUGCCAGCAGCUGAACCACACGACAACGACAUUUGGCUUACUGAUGCUGAAAGGAAGGAGAAGGGCCGACAGAACGCUGACAGAACUAGGAGAGCCACUGAAAACACAAUCCAUCAAGGUGACAUGGUUCUGCUACAGCAACCAACGCAGAACAAGUUGUCUACUACCUUCAAACCAGAGCCAUACAGCGUCGUGGACAGGAAGGGGAACUAUAUUAUCCUGGAAAGGAUUAGCAAGAGGGCCAUGUGACAUGUUUCUUUUGUGAAACAGUGGAUACAACCACAGCCAAGACAAUGGACUACAUGUGACAAAGACACUGACCGGGCAGAGCCUGACACACUGCCUAGACAAAUGCCUGCACCUGACGAGGCCUUUCAACUACAGCCUCGACCCGAAGACUCAGACAACAAGUUGUGCACCUGAAGGACUAUGUUAGAUAGACAUGUUGCCAUAAUGGAGAAGAAUAAUCUCUGGCACAGUCUCAAUGGCAGGGCAGUCUAACCCUAGCCAUCACAGAAAAGUUCCGGCAAGAAUUAUUUUCAAAAAACAUUGUUAACAAAAGAGUUCCAGCAACGUAACCAGUGUUUUGGUUGGAAGUUUAAAGAAAGUAGAAGUAAACAUCGCAGUAUGUUGUUGUUGGAAAAUAUGUUAAUACUGUAUACAAGAGAUAAUUUAUUUUGAGUACUGGAUAAUGUUUUGUUACAUUAUAAUGCAUAGAUCUGCAGUUUGGAGAUGUGUUAUCAUAAUGGUUAGUCAAAUGUCUAAGAAGAGCAGGGAUGUAGUGUAUUAGCGACACCUAGUGAUGCAAUACCAGGGGGGCACUAGGGUUACGUGAGGAACGGAGGGAGGCUAUGCUUGGGGGACCAGGAAUAAAGUACAAGUCAAUGAUUCCCAUCAGUCUGAGUCAAGUCAAUACAUUACAGGUCCUGUCUAGAAUUCAAAAAGCUUUCAAUAAAGGACGUUGUCUGCUGGAUACAGGUGAAAGAGCGCAGCUGGAGGUGUGGGAGAACACAUAAGACUGGUAUGUGCAUGCUGAAUAAGCCAUGCAACAACUGUCAAGAACUCCACCUAACCAUUCUCCAUGACGCAGCUGAACAAAAACACACCAGUGUGCUGAUAACAGCCUCCCAUUCACAGCUACUCUACAUGCAAAGGUCAAGCUGAAAGUCGUCAACAUCCUAAUCCACAACGGUAAGAAAACACUCCAGACACAUGCCAUCCUGAAUGAAGGGUCAGAAAAAACAAUCCUUUCCCAUGCUCCCUCCAACUUGCCUACGGCUCUUUAACCCCCUUCUGGUCAACGGGCAUGGACUACUUCGGCACAUUCAAAGUCAAGAUAGGUGGAUGUACAGAAAAAACGAUGGGGGUAUACUGUUCAAACGCCUCACCACAUGGUCCAUCCAUCUUGAGCUGCUGGACAGUAUGGAUGCUGACACAUUCUUACUGAGGAGGCAAGCCCUUUGAGGUCCUGUCCGACCAAUGGACAUAUUUCUGUGUUGGAGAGACUGAAUUACAGACUGCCUUUUAGGCCAUGGCCCCAGCACUGCAGCAGCAGCUAGCCAACAAACAGGUCAACAUCCAUCUGCUCCUCACUUUGGUGGAAGCUGGGAGUGAGAUAUCAAAUCAGUAAAAACAGCCCUUCGUGUGGUGCUAGGCAACCAGUCAACAACAGAAGCAGUCUUGCACACUGUGUUGGUGGAGGUAGAGGGAAUCCUGAAAUCUUAACCACAUGUAUCCUCUUGCCUGCCUGACCCAGGUCUAGUUACAUAAAAUAUAGGGUGGUGUGAUUCCUCUCUCCCACAAGCCAUCUGUUGCUCUAGUGAUCUCCAUGGUCAUAGAUCAUAGCCAGAUUCUGUCCGACAACUUCUGGGCUGCCUUCAUAUGCAACUACCUUCCUUCUCUUCAGACCCGUCAAAAAUGUGAAACUGAUAGGGCAAACUUUGAUUUAUGCCAGAUUGCAAUUAUGGUGGAUCCUUAGCAGCCUCAGGCUUCAUGACCUAUACGAAAAAUAAUUGAAACAUAUCCUGGAGUGGUAUGGCCGGGUGCGGACUUCAAAGAUCUCAAUACAGGGUCAAGAGUAUGUCUGUCCAGUGGCCAGACUGGUUACGCUACCAACUAUCGAUGACCAUAAUGCACAGGACUAAAACACAGAUUUGCUGCUCAAAUCUGGAGGCUGUACUGAACUGUGCCUAUAACAUUUCAAAAUUCCCUGAAAUGGGAAAUAUCCAUUGCCGACUGGGCAUAGGGAGCUUUGUUCAUUUUUAUUACAUUUAUCUGACAAUUGGUUUCAUUUAUAUGGACAUUUCAUUGGAUCCUUUUGUAAUAUUAUUUAUGCACAUUUGUUAUUAUGAAAAUGUUAUUAAAUUAAUUGAUUGACUAUUAUUGUUGAUAAAAUAUAAUUUACUGCACUUUUUCAUCUCUUUUAG